rnacentral:rRNA from 1 species
UACGGGGGGGGCAAGCGUUGUUCGGAAUUACUGGGCGUAAAGGGCGCGUAGGCGGCCUUCUAAGUCGGACGUGAAAUCCCUCGGCUUAACCGAGGAAUUGCGUCCGAUACUGAAAGGCUUGAAUCCGGGAGAGGGAUGUGGAAUUCCAGGUGUAGCGGUGAAAUGCGUAGAUAUCUGGAGGAACACCGGUGGCGAAGGCGGCAUCCUGGACCGGCAUUGACGCUGAGGCGCGAAAGCUAGGGGAGCAAACGGG